GGACUUAAAACCUUGGUUGUCUACCACAG
rnacentral:piRNA from 1 species